rnacentral:misc_RNA from 1 species
AUUGAUGAACAUGACUUUAACACAAAACUUCGUAAUGCAAUUAAGUUCUUAGAAAAAGGCGAUAAAGUUAAAGCGUCUAUUCGCUUCAAAGGACGCGCUAUUACGCAUAAGGAAAUUGGACAACGAGUACUUGAUCGUUUCUCAACUGCUUGUGCAGAAGUUGCAACUGUUGAGUCACAUCCAAAAAUGGACGGUCGUAGUAUGUUCUUAGUCUUAGCACCUAAAAACGAAAAGUAAUUUAUUUGAGGAGGAAACACGAUAUGCCUAAAAUGAAAACUCACCGUGGUUCAGCAAAACGUUUUAAAAAGACUGGAUCAGGUAAAUUAAAACGUGGU